CCUAGUAACGGCGAGUGAACCGGGAAGAGCUCAAAUUUGAAAUCUGGCGUCCUCAGGGCGUCCGAGUUGUAAUCUAUAGAGGCGUUUUCCGUGCCGGACCGUGUCCAAGUUCCUUGGAACAGGAUAUCAAAGAGGGUGACAAUCCCGUACUUGACACGACGACCGGUGCUCUGUGAUACGUCUUCUACGAGUCGAGUUGUUUGGGAAUGCAGCUCAAAAUGGGUGGUGAGUUCCAUCUAAAGCUAAAUAUUGGCGAGAGACCGAUAGCGAACAAGUACCGUGAGGGAAAGAUGAAAAGCACUUUGGAAAGAGAGUUAAACAGUACGUGAAAUUGUUGAAAGGGAAACGAUUGAAGUCAGUCGUGACCGAGAGGCUCAGCCGGCUCUGCCGGUGUAUUCCCCUCGGUCGGGUCAACAUCAGUUUUGUCCGGUGGAUAAGGGCGGUAGGAAGGUGGCACCCUCGGGUGUGUUAUAGCCUGCCGUCGCAUACAUCGGGUGAGACUGAGGAACGCAGCUCGCCUUUAUGGCCGGGGUUCGCCCACGUCCGAGCUUAGGAUGUUGACAUAAUGGCUUUAAACGACCCGUCUUGAAACACGGAC
rnacentral:rRNA from 1 species